UACGGAGGGUGCGAGCGUUGUUCGGAAUUACUGGGCGUAAAGAGCGUGUAGGCGGCUUGGCAAGUCAGAUGUGAAAGCCCUCGGCUCAACCGAGGAAGUGCAUUUGAGACUGCUAUUCUAGAGUAUGGGAGAGGAGAGUGGAAUUCCCGGUGUAGAGGUGAAAUUCGUAGAUAUCGGGAGGAACACCCGUGGCGAAGGCGACUCUCUGGACCAAUACUGACGCUGAGACGCGAAAGCGUGGGGAGCAAACAGG
rnacentral:rRNA from 1 species